GAUCUGCCCUUUUCUUUUAGGGGCUUCUCACGAGAGUAACACUUAAGGAGCAACAAGUGCUUACACAUUUUGUAUGUGUAUAAAUGAGUGACACCUUAUGAUAAGUGAAUUACUAUAAAGUAAUGGUCAACAAGAGUGGACCCCACUGUCCACAAUGAAGAACCCAUUUAAGAUCGGUUAUGCACUAUAUUUAUAUAUUUUGGAGGCAUCAAAUGACUACAAGGUAUUUUGGUUACUCUUAUCAAAAGGAAAUAUUUUAUAACGUGUAAGAGGUCUUGAGCAAAUUAGGAAAAUUCUGUUGAUUACGUUGAAGGCAUCAUAUAUAUUUCCACACCAGCACCAAAACGUAAAGGAGAAGUGUUGAUUUGAAGGAUUUCUACGAAGUAAAGUAAGAUGGAAGAAGAAUAGUUUAUGGCAUAUGAGGCUAAAAGAGCGACAAGACGAAUGGGUUACGAAUAGCCGCUAACAGGUACAGAAGAUCGAUUUGUUGAUCCGCCCGCUUAGGAUCCUAUUCUGCUAUCUUGGAGUGCUCCUUUGUCCGGAGCCUAUAUUUUGGGUACAGACUCUUCUGUUGCACAUAUGUAUGUUAUUCAGGGGUAUGACGGGGCCCUGUCCCGUCUUAUGACUUGUUUGUUGUUCGUAGAGGUCUGCAGACAUACAUGUGUGUUGUGUAUAUGUUUUGGAUCGAUGUGUUCAGUGAUAGCCUUAUCGGCUUCCACACGUUAUUUCUGUUUAUCUGUGAUAGUAACGCCAU